rnacentral:rRNA from 1 species
CAGCCGCCGCGGGAAUACGUAGGUCCCGAGCGUUGUCCGGACUUAUUGGGCGUAAAGCGAGCGCAGGCUGUUAGAUAAGUCUGAAGUUAAAGGCUGUGGCUUAACCAUAGUACGCUUUGGAAACUGUUUAACUUGAGUGCAGGAGGGGAGAGUGGAAUUCCAUGUGUAGCGGUGAAAUGCGUAGAUAUAUGGAGGAACACCGGUGGCGAAAGCGGCUCUCUGGCUUGUAACUGACGCUGAGGCUCGAAAGCGUGGGGAGCAAACAGGAUUAGAUACCCGCGUAGUCCCUGUCUCUUAUACC